GAGCACGCCGCGUGAGUGAUGAAGGCUUUCGGGUCGUAAAACUCUGUUGUUAGGGAAGAACAAGUGCUAGUUGAAUAAGCUGGCACCUUGACGGUACCUAACCAGAAAGCCACGGCUAACUACGUGCCAACAGCCGCGGUAAUACGUAGGUGGCAAGCGUUAUCCGGAAUUAUUGGGCGUAAAGCGCGCGCAGGUGGUUUCUUAAGUCUGAUGUGAAAGCCCACGGCUCAACCGUGGAGGGUCAUUGGAAACUGGGAGACUUGAGUGCAAAAGAGGAAAGUGGAAUUCCAUGUGUAGCGGUGAAAUGCGUAGAGAUAUGGAGGAACACCAGUGGCGAAGGCGACUUUCUGGUCUGUAACUGACACUGAGGCGCGAAAGCGUGGGGAGCAAACAGGAUUAGAUACCCUGGUAGUCCACGCCGUAAACGAUGAGUGCUAAGUGUUAGAGGGUUUCCGCCCUUUAGUGCUGAAG
rnacentral:rRNA from 1 species